ensembl:lncRNA
GCGUGAAACAGCUGCUCGGACAAAAUUCACGUUUAAAUCACGAACAAACAAGCAAAUAAACAAUGUGAAAUAUAAGCAGACACUUUGGAUCCGGGAGAAGGGAGAAGGAGAGAGCCGAGAGAGCUGAUGGAGUCGGAGCAGCUUCCAGCUGCAUGGUCUCUGCACGAUGAGGAAGCGGAGGUGGGCGGGGCCUCACCGCCAUUCAUGGGUGUGUCUGAAGACCUGGGAGGUGGUCCUUUAAUCCCCGUGACACAACAUAGAAAGGAUGAUCCGUGGUCAUGUGACAGCUCUGCGUCCUCCUCUGAAGACAGCGACGAUGAUGAUUCGAGGUGGAGGAAGAAAAAAAAGAAGAAGAAACUUAGGAAAAAGAAGAGCAAGAGAUCGAGUUCGUCAUCAUCGUCUUCCUCCAGUUCCUCGUCGGACAGUGACAGCAGUGAGGAAGAGAAGAAGAAGCGGAGGAGGAGGAGGAAAAGGAAAGAGAACGCUGUGACGACAGCGAUACCUGAGUCAGGCCUCGUGCUGGAAAUUGUGUUAACGCCACUAAAACAGCAAAACGACGAGCGAGAGAUGAAGAAAGCAAAAAAAGACAGCACUAGAGAGAAGAAAAAGAAGAAAGACAAGAAGAAGCGGAGGCAAAGAAAAAGAAGAAGAAGAACAAAAAGAAUAAAAAGAAAAAGAAGGAUUCCAGCUCGUCUUCCUCCUCCGACAGCUCGUCAUCCGAUAGUGAAGAUCAGGACAAGAAGAAGAAGAAGAAGAAGAAGAAGAAGAAAAAGAAGAAGAAGAAGAGAAUGAAGAAGGACUCAUCGUCUGACAGCUCCAGUGACGAUGAAAAGAAGAAGAAGAAGAAGAAGAAGAAAGACAAGAAAAGAAAGAAGAAAAGAAAGGAGAUGAAGAAAAAGAAAAAAUACUCGAGCUCCAGCUGCAGUUCUUCCUCGAGCGAGAGCGAUGACGAGAAACUGAGCCGGAAAUUAAAGAAAGAGGAACCGUGGGGCGAUGACGCUGCGAGAGACGAGGGGUUAUUACGGGGCGAGCUGGAGGGAAGGGCUGAAGCGGCGGCUGAUGAUUGGACAGCAGCUUCACCAGCAUUCCCUGCGGCCUGUGAGGCUGAGAGGACCGGUGGGAUAUGUGAUGAUGGUGAAAGAGGAGAAGAAGAAAAGAAAGGGAAGCUGAAGAAAAAGAAAAAGGAUUCUGCUUCAUCUUCAGAAUCGUCGUCCUCCUGUUCAGACAGUUCCUCCUCAGACAGCGAGGAUGACAAGAAAAAGAAGAAGAAGAAAAAGAAGAAGAAGAAGAAGAAGAAGAAGAAGAAGGACUCGAGCUCUUCAUCUUGUUCCUCAUCCUCUUCAGAUAGUGAGGAUGACAAGAAGAAGAAGAAAAGAAGAAGAAGAAGAAGAAGAAGGGGAAAAAGAAGGCCAGCGGCUCUUCAUCUUCAUCGGACAGCGAGAGGAACGGAAGAGGAUGAAGAAGAAAAAAAGGGGAAAGAAGAAAAAGCGCAAAUCCAAGAAGAUGAAGAAGAAGGGUUCCAGUUCUCCUUCUCCUCACGAUGUUGAUGAAAAUAAAGAAAAGCAGGAAGACUUAAAGAAGGUGGAAGUGAAGGGAGAAGAUCGGGAUGGACGGAGCGACGCAACGGGAGGAGUAGAGGACGGAGAAAGAUACGAUAUGUUCCCAGACGAUCCUACACGUGGCGUCUUUACUGAGGGGGCGGAGUCUCAGGGGGAGGGCUCCAGGGGCACCUGGAGGGGCGGAGCUUUAGGCUACAAGUCUCACCUGGACACCGAGAGGAACAGCGACGAGUCACAAUAUCAGAUGUUGAACGAGAAUGAAUUGUGAUUUCUUUUUUUAAAAAAACAUUUUGCUUUUUAUAAUUCAGAGUAAAAAAUCAUUCAUAUGUUCAGUUUAUCUCACACUCUAAAGAUUCGAGUUUAGAUUUGAUUCAGGCGAUUCACUUGUUUAACUUGUUUCGUUUUCCGGUACACAAUCACAGGUUUUGCAUUAGGAACGGGUUUCUUUAUGUCAGAGAUUUCAGAUGUGUUUUUUUUUUCUUUUUUUUUUGCUUCAUGGAGCAUGAAAUUCUGACUUUUUUUUUUGCUUAAGUUGACGUUUUAGACGCUAGUUCAGAUUUCAGAUUUGAUCGAAUGCGCACAAAGGGAUAAAAUGACGAAUAAGGACAAAUUAGAUCUGAAAGUUUUGUUGACAGUUUGCUUUUAGCGAAUAAAAUCGGAAAUGUUUGGUAGUCGUAAGGAAGCUAUAUUUAUCGCGGAAAUCAUUUCAUCCCGUUUCUUUGAUCAGUCUGGAUAUUUCUGCAGAAAAUGUUUUCAUUUCGAAUCCCAUUUUAAUAACUUUUCAGAUAAUAAAACGGCAAGAGUGAUGAAAUGAAAACCUGAAAACCGCGACAUUACAACCCAGUCUAAAAUUUUAUCUAGAAGAAUCUAGAAACUCUUGCAUUGACAGAAAUAGAGAUUAUGAAAAACGAUACACUUUGGGGACACUCAUUCGCAAUAAACAACCACAACAACAAAAUAAGCUUUUCAUUUGAUUCACCUUUGUAUUAAUCAGCUGGCAUAAAGUGAGAUUUGUUUUUCUUUUUUUUUUGCUUUUUUUUUUGCUUUUCAGUAAAAAAAUGAUUUCAGGCUGUUUAGGAUUUAAUGGCACAGAAAUGCAUGGACAUUAAGUCUUAAUUGACUUAUUCCAAAUAAAAAUAAAAAACAAUAUGAGCUUUAUAGUGUGAUGAUGUUAUUGUGUGAUGCACUUAAGUUAUUACAAUUUGCCAAACUAUUUGUUUACUAUUACAUAUUACUACACCUUUUUAAAAAAAAAUUAAUUAAAUAAUGACGUCAUGGUGCUUAUGCAUUAAUAGUUACAUUUAAAGUUCUGUGAAAUGAGUUACUUCCUGUUCUCACUUACAUUACAGCAGCGGUAAGCUGUCGUUCCCUCACCAGUCUCUCUUUAUUCUCUCUCUUCAAGUUGAUUAGACAAAACAAACCCACAAAGUGUAAACUCCCGCUCUGACUGACAUAAAAUCGCAGCUUUAAGGUACGUUCACAUGCGCAAGUCGC